GACGAACGCUGGCGGCGUGCUUAACACAUGCAAGUCGAACGGAAAGGCCCUGCUUUUGUGGGGUGCUCGAGUGGCGAACGGGUGAGUAACACGUGAGUAACCUGCCCUUGACUUUGGGAUAACUUCAGGAAACUGGGGCUAAUACCGGAUAGGAGCUCCUGCUGCAUGGUGGGGGUUGGAAAGUUUCGGCGGUUGGGGAUGGACUCGCGGCUUAUCAGCUUGUUGGUGGGGUAGUGGCUUACCAAGGCUUUGACGGGUAGCCGGCCUGAGAGGGUGACCGGCCACAUUGGGCCUGCGAUACGGCCCAGACUCCUACGGGAGGCAGCAGUGGGGAAUAUUGCACAAUGGGCGGAAGCCUGAUGCAGCAACGCCGCGUGCGGGAUGACGGCCUUCGGGUUGUAAACCGCUUUCGCAUGUGACGAAGCGUGAGUGACGGUAAUGGGUAAAGAAGCACCGGCUAACUACGUG
rnacentral:rRNA from 1 species